rnacentral:rRNA from 1 species
UCUGGUGAUUAUAGUUUUAAGGGUAACACCCCUUUCCAUUUCGAACAGGUAGGUUAAGCCUUAAGACGCUGAUAGUACUGCAUGGGAAGCUGUGUGGGAGGGUAAGUUGUCGCCAGGUA